CAGUAGCCACGGGAAUACGUAGGUGGCAAGCGUUGUCCGGAAUUAUUGGGCGUAAAGGGCUCGCAGGCGGUUUCUUAAGUCUGAUGUGAAAGCCCCCGGCUCAACCGGGGAGGGUCAUUGGAAACUGGGAAACUUGAGUGCAGAAGAGGAGAGUGGAAUUCCACGUGUAGCGGUGAAAUGCGUAGAGAUGUGGAGGAUCACCAGUGGCGAAGGCGACUCUCUGGUCUGUAACUGACGCUGAGGAGCGAAAGCGUGGGGAGCGAACAGGAUUAGAUACCCCUGUAGUCCCUGUCUCUUAUAC
rnacentral:rRNA from 1 species